AAAAAAGAACCCAAAGCUUUCAGUUGUUGUAGUCUCUCUGACAACAAGACUGAGUGUAAGCAGAUGUUGUUGGUAUAUAAACAAUCUAGGCCUCUGUCCAUGUAGGCCUUAAGAGCUUAGAGUCUAAUGGACUAAGGGUGGACUUUAUUUACACAAAUCCAUGAAUGUGGCUGAAAUGCCUUUUUUAUAACCCCACAGAUAAUAAUCUACUGACAGACUAAAUGAAGCUGCCUUCAAGUUUGAAUGGAAUUCCAUUGCAUGUUAGAAGUGAGGAAAUGCUUCUGGAAAGUGAAACGCCUGAUACAUGCUGAAAGCAUAAUAAAGUAUGCCCGAGAUGCGACUCGUUACAUCAUUGCUGGCAAGUACCUUUGAGAGCAGGCAAGCAAUCGCAUAUCCGAAGGAGUCUUGGAAACAUUAACAGGAUCGAAAUGCAUCAACAAUUUCCCAUGGAGAAGCAAUGGAGCAUGCGUGCGGAUGUGACUGAAACAUCAUGGCCUGAGGCCCAAUACCCCGGAUGUGUUCCACUUCGCAUUGCUCAUCCACUGCAUUUUAAUGCACUGGGAGCUGGGAAACCAUGGGAAUGUAGUUAACAGGAUUUCAGCCAAAGCUUUCCUCAUUUAAACUGUCCUCUUGCAGAACGCUCCAGAAGAGGCUGUAUUCUCUCUGUCAUCCUUCUGAGAAAGCCUUUUGUGACUGUUUUGGAACAACUGGAAAAACUGUGUUUUAUGACUGGUUAAAAAUACAUAAUGUAAAAUAUUUCAUAGAAAUGUUGACUUUAGGAAAGCAAACAAGAAGUACUAUUGUCACUAAUUAUGAAAUGAUGCUUGCGUGAACUGCUCCUGCUUCCAGAGGUGACUCCUCGAUUAUUCAAUGCCCGAAACCCUGUUCAUUGUACAAGAAGUUGAAGCAGAGAGUCAGGAAACAAUUCACUGAAUGAGAAUUACUGGAGCAUGCAUCAUACUGUAGGAAGCUGACUUCUUUUUUUAUUGCUUCCGUCAGUGCAAACUUUCAGCUUUUCUGUGUUCUCUGCAGCCAGGAAGGUUGAAUUCAUACAUCAUCAGUUCUUGUUGCAUCCUGUCCUAAUCAGACAAGGGAGCAACAAUGUCUGAAAGUUAUUUAAUAUGGUCGCUGUUGUAAGUUAACUCAAAAUGUAACGCUUUGUACUGUAAAAAUGUGGAAAGUGGUGCUUAUUUGGUGGGGUAGCAUGCUGAUCAAUCACAAUGAAGGAAAAGAAAUGGACGAAAAAUAUUUACUGCAAAACAAAGUAGGACAUUAUCAUCCAAACAAUGAAAGCAAUGUUGACACUACUGAAAAAUAAAUGGUUAAAUAUUCUAGAAGUAUCACUUCCUCUGAAAAUGCAUUCAUGUACACUUUGGGUUAUUAGAAAUCCUUUUCAAUGCACAAUGAAAAUAUAUUGUGCUUCUACCUAUAAGAACAAAAAGCUCAAUAAAUCAAAGGGCUACCAAGUUAUUUAAGGCAACACAAGAAGUUGCAGAUGCUUGAACAAAAAUAUAUAUAUAUAAAUGCUGCAGGAAGUCAGCAGGUCAGGCAGCAUCUGUGAUGGGAGAUGACAUUUCGGGUUAGGACUGAUAAAGGAGGGGGAGAAAGGCCAGAAAGGAGAGGUGGGAUUAGUCAAAGCCUGGCAAGUGAUUGGUGGAUACAGGAGCGGUGGAUGUAAUUUGCAGAUGGCUGGUGUAAGUGACAAGAGGGUGAGGAUAGAGAAUGAGUGAAGUGUAAAGCUGGAGGGAGGGAUAUGGUUCAACGGCACAACGGUGAAUGGAAAGAGUGGGGAUAAAAGGGGAAGAUGUGAUUUGUGGAUGGCCACAAACAUAUGGAGGAGUGUGAAAGAAGCAGAGUGAUUCAGGGAGGCAUGGUAGAGUAACUGCCUUACAGCGUUUGUAGCGCCAGAGACCCGGGUUCGAUCCUGGCCAUGGAUGCUGUCUGUACGGAGUUUGUACGUUCUCCCCAUGACCGCGUGGGAUUUCUCCGAGGCCUUCGGUUUCCUCCUACACUCCAAAGACGUUCAGGUAUGUAGGUUAAUUGGCUUGGUGUAUGUGUAAUAU